rnacentral:lncRNA from 1 species
UAAUACUUACCAUUGUGCUAGGCUACAUCGAUAAGGGCCUUAGUUGUACUUGCAUAUGCAGCGCAUUAAUAAUCGACGGCCUUAGCAGCUUGUGUUCUUACAACUUUACCAUGUCCUAUGAUAAGAGCACCGGGAACCUAGAAAGUCUACGUGGUUGCGUCGGGGCAUUGUACUAAACUGCCGAUACAUUCACCUCCUUAAAACUUGAGGCAUUCCUAGUGCUCUUUCUAUAGGCGCUCUUUUUCAAUUCGG